GAGUAAAUGUUGGUGAUGCGGAAUAGAUUAUCAUAUAACUUAUUGAAAAUAAUGAGGAUAUUCGUGGAUUGCAAAUCCGCCUACGCCGGUUCGAUUCCGACCUCGGCCUCCA
rnacentral:tRNA from 1 species